rnacentral:rRNA from 1 species
GACGAACGCUGGCGGCGUGCUUAACACAUGCAAGUCGAGCGGUAAGGCCCUUUCGGGGGUACACGAGCGGCGAACGGGUGAGUAACACGUGGGUGACCUGCCCUCAGCUCUGGGAUAAGCCUGGGAAACCGGGUCUAAUACUGGAUAUGACUCCAUGACGCAUGUUGUGGGGUGGAAAGCCUUGUGCGGCUGAGGAUGGGCCCGCGGCCUAUCAGCUUGUUGGUGGGGUGANGGCCUACCAAGGCGACGACGGGUAGCCGGCCUGAGAGGGCGACCGGCCACACUGGGACUGAGACACGGCCCAGACUCCUACGGGAGGCAGCAGUGGGGAAUCUUGCGCAAUGGGACGAAAGCCUGACGCAGCGACGCCGCGUGAGGGAU